rnacentral:rRNA from 1 species
CCCCUAAUGCUGGCGUUCCAACUUUGAGUUUCCUUAACUGCCCCCGGGCGUGUUCGCCACCUCGUACACCAAAUUAAGCUUCGUUGCGCUUCUUGGAAUGGUCCAGAACUGUAGGGUCACUGGCGGGAUCUCUAUCCCAAAGAGAAGCCUCGUGACCACUGUCCACCACGUACCAACAGCAGUCGAGCACAGCACUCUACAACCCAAUUCAGGGCGUUGCUCGCGUUGGGGAUAACAAUCAACGGUAGUAAUUCAACCCGUGAGAUCGCUCUGACGGCCAUUAUUUGGCCUCCUUCCACCCCUACUGCAGUUUAGUAGUACGGGGAAUACUGGACCCGAUGUGUGCACGAUGUUACCAACCAUGUUGCUCAGCGUUCGGCCACUGCCGUUCGUUUAGAGAAUUUCGGUUAGAGUCAAGCCUAACAUCCGACGUUGAGCGGAUGUACUUCAGCCUUAGCGAUCAUUAGCGCCUAGUCGUGCGGCGCCACUUAUGCAAGGGCCCGGAACAUGUGUGGCGGGCAGUGUGGUGCUCUCAAACAUUGUGGGCUUCAGCCACUCCAUUGGAAAAUCCUCGGUCGGCGGAUUCCACCCUAUCUACUAACCCCACUUCAGCAUUGUUCCAUUGGCAUUUCCCGCUUAAGACGUCUAUAGGUAGUGUGACCGCCGGCGA